GCGUCAGUACGGCGAGUGAGCGGCACAGCUCAAAUUUGAAAUCUGGCCCUAGGCCCGAGUUGUAAUUUGCAGAGGAUGCUUUUGGUGCGGUGCCUUCCGAGUUCCCUGGAACGGGACGCCAUAGAGGGUGAGAGCCCCGUACGGUUGGACACCAAGCCUUUGUAAAGCUCCUUCGACGAGUCGAGUAGUUUGGGAAUGCUGCUCAAAAUGGGAGGUAUAUUUCUUCUAAAGCUAAAUAUUGGCCAGAGACCGAUAGCGCACAAGUAGAGUGAUCGAAAGAUGAAAAGCACUUUGAAAAGAGGGUUAAACAGCACGUGAAAUUGUUAAAAGGGAAGCGCUUGUGACCAGACUUGCGUCCGGUGAAUCACCCAGCUCUCGCGGCUGGGGCACUUUGCCGGCUCAGGCCAGCAUCAGCUCGCUGUCGGGGACAAAAGCUUCGGGAACGUAGCUCUCUUCGGGGAGUGUUAUAGCCCGUUGCACAAUACCCUUCGGUGGGCUGAGGUACGCGCUCCGCAAGGAUGCUGGCGUAAUGGUCAUCAGCGACCCGUCUUGAACC
rnacentral:rRNA from 1 species